GAGUUUGAUCCUGGCUCAGGACGAACGCUGGCGGCGUGCCUAAUACAUGCAAGUUGAGCGAUGAAGAUUGGUGCUUGCACCAAUUUGAAGAGCAGCGAACGGGUGAGUAACGCGUGGGGAAUCUGCCUUUGAGCGGGGGACAACAUUUGGAAACGAAUGCUAAUACCGCAUAAUAACUUUAAACAUAAGUUUUAAGUUUGAAAGAUGCAAUUGCAUCACUCAAAGAUGAUCCCGCGUUGUAUUAGCUAGUUGGUGAGGUAAAGGCUCACCAAGGCGAUGAUACAUAGCCGACCUGAGAGGGUGAUCGGCCACA
rnacentral:rRNA from 1 species